UGCCGGUCUGUCGCUCAUUGCAAAAUGGGAGGAAAGUCCGGGCAACACAGAGCACCAUACUUCUUAACGGGAAGCAGUCCGCAAGGGUUGAGUAGCGUAACAGAAAAUAACCGCCGGCUUGCCGGUAAGGGUGAAAAGGUGAGGUAAAAGCUCACCGGGUUCCAUAGCAAUAUGGAAUGCCGUACGUCUUAUGGGUUGUAAGGUCAUGUAUACCGGCGUAUGUAGGAUUGCUCGUCCGAUGCCGGGGGGUAGACCGCUAAAGCUUACUGGCGACAGUAAGACGAGAUAAAUGGCAGGCGCUUCCGUGAUGAACGGAAGUACAGGACCCGGCUUACAGGCAGACUGU
rnacentral:RNase_P_RNA from 1 species